ACUGAAAAUAUAAAAUACUUAGACUUCGAACUUAGAAUCUCGAGUACCAACAGUUGAGCUUUAAGCCAACUUUAGGUCUGAUAGACGGAUGGAUUGGACAACCUGUGGGUGGGUCAUUGUAACCGUGGGUUAUGCGGGUGCGAGUAGAAUUUAUCCACAAAUUUUUGGGUUGCCAUCACUCUCAGUCUUACCCACUUGCAUUUAGGUCUGAUAUACGAAUGGGUUGGGCAAUCCAUAGACAGGUCAUUCUACCUGUGGAUUAUGCAGGUGCGAGUAGAAUUUAUCCACAAAUUUUUGGGUUGCCAUCAUUCUUAGUCUUACCCACUUGCAGGUGGGAGUAGGUAUACGAGUUAUCCACAAGGUAUCCUUUUUUUUUUUCGCUUCAUUUAUUUUAUUUACAAAUAAAUUUAGUUGGAAAUGUGAAUCAAUUAGGAUUCGAACUUGGGCCCUCGAGUACCAACUACGAAGCCCUUUGCCACUUGCCACAUGCUCUAGAGAUAGGUAUCUUUUUUUCUUUUUUUCUUUUUUUCUAUUCUUAUAUUUUUCAAACACAAAUAACAUAUAUAUUAUUUUUAAAUAAUCUAAAAAUAACUUAUUAU
rnacentral:lncRNA from 1 species